GUUCAGUCCUGGUACUCUGUGAGAGGAGUCGCUGCAGCAGCAUGCAGCAGGAGACUGAACCACGCAGGAGGAGGAAUAAACCCAUGCUCCGUAUCGCUCCGGCUGUUAGCUGACGUCACCAUCUGCGGAGUCAGUCUAAAGCCACCAGCAGAAGGAAAAUCCGGACCGGAUUACGCACUGACUGAUGUGACUGACGACCGUGAUGGGAGACGAAACGUGGACUGUGGAUCACUUACACUGGAGGCACAAUAGGAAGGGAUUUCUUUCAUUCUUUCAUUUAUAACGCUACAACCAUUUCAUUGUAUAUUGUAUAUAUUUCAGAUUGUCUACUUUACUAUUUUAUUAUUUAUUUUUAUUUUAUUGUCUACUUUAAUAUUUUAUUUUAUUUUAUUUUAUUUUAAUGUCU